rnacentral:rRNA from 1 species
UACGUAGGGGGCAAGCGUUGUCCGGAUUUAUUGGGCGUAAAGAGCGUGUAGGCGGCUUUACAGGUCCGUUGUGAAAACUCGAGGCUCAACCUCGAGACGCCGGUGGAAACCGUAAGGCUAGAGUCCGGAAGAGGAGAGUGGAAUUCCUGGUGUAGCGGUGAAAUGCGCAGAUAUCAGGAAGAACACCUAUGGCGAAGGCAGCUCCCUGGGACGGUACUGACGCUGAGACGCGAAAGCGUGGGGAGCGAACAGG